AUUCAGGUCAGGUCAAAGCCUAGAGAAAAAUGCGCAUUCAGAAGUGGGCUGCCAUCCUGCUUUUUCUGAAGUGAACAGCUGCUGGGUAUUGAAACCAGCCCUCACGGUUGGGUCCCUGCCACCAUGGCAACACUCUGGUUUCUGAGCUGGAGUGGCCAAGGCACAAUGGGGUGGUUCCAUGGCCCAGAAGCACUCUAGCUACAGAUUAGUUUAUUUCAGGACUAUAUUAAGUUUCCCAACUUCUGUCAUGAUAUAGUCCAAAGAGAACCUGGACCACGCAGACAUCAAACAGAACAUGACACUGACCCAUUCUAUCAGUGACGUUGUGCUGAUUGCACAGGACAGAUGAGAGGCUCGUAUACUAGAAGUCUUGUCAUAUGAUACUUCAAAAUCUGUGAUUCCAUGAAGCCAAGAGUAGCUCUUCAACAGGAAAUGAAUGAGUGCUUCAGCUUCUGAUCCCAUUAGUAAGAAAAUACAGUCUUAUGAGCAAUGAUGGAGCUGCAUCUCUUAGGGGCAUUUGAUUCCCAAGAGACCAAAGAGCAAAGAGAAUGUCAAUUUAAAAAAAUCAAAUGUUUCCAUGACUUAGCUAUUUAACUGCUUUAAAAUGAAUGAAUGCUGCUUCAAGUUCUUUCAAAUACCCCACAUCUUGGCAACAACGAAAGGAAUUAACAUGAAGAAAAUUUACAAUCUUUCAUCACAUCGAACAAUGUCCCACAUUUGAAAAGUUCACAGCACAGAUUUCUGGUUACUGAAAGAAAGGAAAGACCUUCUUUGGAUUUGAAUAAACAGAUGGACUUUCUUCUCCUUUUUCUUAUAGUGCCCGAUUUGUGUAAAGGGAGGUGGGAAGAAAACAUCUUAGCUUAAAAGAGUGUCCUAUAAAAUAAAAGGUUUCAUACUUGCCUAUAGCUAAUCUCUGAAGGUGGUUACAAAAGAGGAUUUCUGAAACAUUUUAUAUGCAAUGGCCCAGACAUUUGCAUAAGUGGUCAAACUUUCAAGAUGACAACUUAAAAAUAUAAUACUCCUUUUGGACAAGCUUGUUUUUAAAAUAGCAGCAUCAUUAACUUUGGCAAAUCCAAUUCUUAAAUAUCCUUUAAAAUAGUUGAUAAAAGAAAGAAGGUAUCAGAACUAUAUAAUGGUUGCACUGCAUUUUUUAAAACCUCUUAUUUUGAAAUAAUUUUAGAAUCACAGAAAGUUGCAAAUAUAGUAUAAGGAGUCCCAUGUGCCCUACAUGAUGACAUCUUAUAAAGGGAUAGUAUAAUAUCAAAACCAAGAAAUUGACAUUGGCACAUUACUGUUAUUUUUUUAUUAUACUUUAAGUUUUAGAGUACGUGUGCACAACGUGCAGGUUUCUUACAUAUGCAUACAUGUGCCAUGCUGGUGUGCUGCACCCAUUAACUCGUCAUUUAAUAUUAGGUAUAUCUCCUAAUGCUAUCCCUCCCCCCUCCCCCCACCCCACAACAGGCCCCAGUGUGUGAUGUUCCCCUUCCUGUGUCCAUGUGUUCUCAUUGUUCAAUUCCCACCUAUGAGUGAGAACAUGCGGUGUUUGGUUUUUUUGUCCUUGCGAUAGUUUGCUGAGAAUGAUGGUUUCCAGCUUCAUCCAUGUCCCUACAAAGGACAUGAACUCAUCAUUUUUUAUGGCUGCAUAGUAUUCCAUGGGGUAUAUGUGCCACAUUUUCUUAAUCCAGUCUAUCAUUGUUGGACAUUUGGCUUGGUUCCAAGUCUUUGCUAUUGUGAAUAGUGCCACAAUAAACAUACAUGUGCAUGUGUCUUUAUAGCAGCAUGAUUUAUAAUGCUUUGGGUAUAUACCCAGUAAUGGGACGGCUGGGUCAAAUGGUAUUUCUAGUUCUAGAUCCCUGAGGAAUCGCCACACUGAAUUCCACAAUGGUUGAACGAGUUUACAGUCCCACCAACAGUGUAAAAGUGUUCCUAUUUCUCCACAUCUUUUCCAGCACCUGUUGUUUCCUGACUUUUUAAUGAUUGCCAUUCUAACUGGUGUGAGAUGGUA
rnacentral:lncRNA from 1 species